rnacentral:rRNA from 1 species
GCCCAAUAGCUAGCUCACAUCUCAACUUCAACACUCACGUAUUAAUAACCCCUAAAAUACUAAAUACCCUAACCAAAUCAUUUUUCCUCUUAAGUAUAGGCGAUAGAAAAAGAAUAUUGACGCAAUAGAUAAAGUACCGUAAGGGAACGCUGAAAGAGAAAUGAAAUAACCCAGUAAAGCAAAAAAAAGCAGAGCUUCCCCCUUGUACCUUUUGCAUCAUGUUUUAGCAAGAGUCUUUUGAGCAAAAAGCAUUUUAGUUCAAACACCCGAAACAAGGUGAGCUACUCCAAGACAGUCUUACUUAUAGGACUAACCCGUCUCUGUGGCAAAAGAGUGGGAAGAUCUUUGAGUAGAGGUGAUAAGCCUACCGAACCUUGUUAUAGCUGGUUGCCUGAGAAUUGAAUAGAAGUUCAGCCCCUUAAAAUUUUUCUCCUUUCUACCGUGGUAAAAACAAAGCAUAGAUCUAAAAGAAAUUUAGGGAGUUACUCAAAGGGGGUACAGCCCCUUUGAGAAAAGAAACAACUUUAUAAAGAAGGUUAAAGAUCAUAUUAUCAACUUAAGG